UACGGAGGGUGCAAGCGUUAUCCGGAUUUACUGGGUUUAAAGGGUGCGUAGGUGGGCCUGUAAGUCAGUGGUGAAAUCUUCAAGCUUAACUUGGAAACUGCCAUUGAUACUAUAGGUCUUGAAUUAUCUGGAGGUAAGCGGAAUAUGUCAUGUAGCGGUGAAAUGCUUAGAGAUGACAUAGAACACCCAUUGCGAAGGCAGCUUACUACGGAUUGAUUGACACUGAGGCACGAAAGCGUGGGGAGCAAACAGG
rnacentral:rRNA from 1 species